GGAUUACUCCUUUACGCUUUCGCGUUUGGUUGAUAAAGAUUCGCACCUCUAUCAAACCGGGUAAUCCCACCUCUUGGCAAGACCUGCUGUCAGAUCAAAUCUGAACUACUACACCUAAAGCUUUAUUCUGACGAGAGCAGUUAUGCCGUGCCGCUUGCGUUUGAUCUUGCCGAAUGUUCUAUGAGAACCGUGACCUGUUC
rnacentral:sRNA from 1 species